GUGCCAGCGCGGUAAUACGUAGGGGGCGAGCGUUGUCCGGAGUUACUGGGCGUAAAGCGCACGCAGGCGGUCUGUGAAGUUUGGAGUGACAGUUGGUGGCUCAACCACCAAAGUGCUUUGAAAACUGAUAGACUUGAGGGCUUCAGAGGGACACGGAAUUCCGGGUGGAGUGGUGAAAUGCGUAGAGAUACCGGAGGAACACCAAAGGCGAAGGCAGUGUCCUGGGGAGUACCGUGACGCUCAGGUGCGAAAGCCAGGGGAGCGAACGGGAUUAAGAUG
rnacentral:rRNA from 1 species